GUCGGUUUGAGGCGGGCUGGCGCAGGCGCGGUGCAGCCACCCUGUGACCGAGGGUGUCGAUGUGGCAUAUCCGCACAGACCACGCAGGGCGGGAGGUGGGCCGGUCAGGUGGCUUGUGCCCAGCUGUCCCAUAGGCAGGGGCUCACCAGGAGCUGUUGUGCAGAGCAGAUAUCUAAUCUAGAUGGACCACCUUGAGCAACGGGGAGGAGGUGGAGAACUGGACAUCGUGCCAAGCCUGGCUCAGCCUGCUUCUGGAGCGGGGGAUGUCAUUAAGAUCUUGUCUGCAAAGAUUGUGUAUGACAAAGCUGUUGAGAUGUCCCAUGAGUAACCUGGAGAAGAUAUUCUAUCUCAUGUCCCUUUAGAGCUGAAGGCAAGCUGCAGCUGAGAGGCUACUGAAAUAGAAAACCUCUGUGAUUUUUUCAUGAUUUUCACAA